rnacentral:rRNA from 1 species
GACGAACGCUGGCGGCGUGCUUAACACAUGCAAGUCGAACGGAAAGGCCUGCAGCUUGCUGCGGGUACUCGAGUGGCGAACGGGUGAGUAACACGUGGGUGAUCUGCCUUGCACUUCGGGAUAAGCUUGGGAAACUGGGUCUAAUACCGGAUAGGACAGCUGUUUAGUGUCAGUUGUGGAAAGUUUUUUCGGUGCAAGAUGAGCUCGCGGCCUAUCAGCUUGUUGGUGGGGUAAUGGCCUACCAAGGCGUCGACGGGUAGCCGGCCUGAGAGGGUGUACGGCCACAUUGGGACUGAGAUACGGCCCAGACUCCUACGGGAGGCAGCAGUGGGGAAUAUUGCACAAUGGGCGGAAGCCUGAUGCAGCGACGCCGCGUGGGGGAUGAAGGCCUUCGGGUUGUAGACUCCUUUCGACAGGGACGAAGCUUUUGUGACGGUACCUGUAUAAGAAGCACCGGCUAACUACGUGCCAGCAGCCGCGGUAAUACGUAGGGUGCGAGCGUUGUCCGGAAUUACUGGGCGUAAAGAGCUCGUAGGUGGUUUGUCGCGUCGUCUGUGAAAUUCCGGGGCUUAACUCCGGGCGUGCAGGCGAUACGGGCUGACUUGAGUGCUGUAGGGGAGACUGGAAUUCCUGGUGUAGCGGUGAAAUGCGCAGAUAUCAGGAGGAACACCGAUGGCGAAGGCAGGUCUCUGGGCAGUAACUGACGCUGAGGAGCGAAAGCAUGGGUAGCGAACAGG